rnacentral:rRNA from 1 species
CAGUAGCCGCGGUAAUACGAAGGGGGCUAGCGUUGCUCGGAAUUACUGGGCGUAAAGGGAGCGUAGGCGGACAUUUAAGUCAGGGGUGAAAUCCCAGAGCUCAACUCUGGAACUGCCUUUGAUACUGGGUGUCUUGAGUGUGAUAGAGGUAUGUGGAACUCCGAGUGUAGAGGUGAAAUUCGUAGAUAUUCGGAAGAACACCAGUGGCGAAGGCGGCAACCUGGUCCGAUACUGACGCUGAGGCGCGAAAGCGUGGGGAGCAAACAGGAUUAGAUACCCGCGUAGUCCCUGUCUCUUAUAC